UUGGGGCCUGACACACUAUUCUGCAGCAGGGCUCAAAGCCUUUGUGGGGAGCCAGAGGACUUUGCUGUAGGUCCUGGGCAAGCUACCACCUACUGCAGCCUUCUCAUUCCCAAAACGUCCCAUAAAUCAUGCCUCUAUUCGCACGUUAAUGCCUAAAAUGCAUAGAAAUCUUAGGGUUUUCAAGAUAUCACAAUCUCCCACUUCAUAAAACACAACUUGUUCAAAAUGUCUCCGGUGCGCUCAGAACCUGAACGGACAAUAAGCGGAGCUUAUAAAUCAAUGGCGCCUCUUUCCCUUAUACUCUCACUUUGUGCUUCGCCCACACAUGGCGAACAGAGAAAUACAACUGCCUUUCUUAUAGGAAGUCAUCUAACAUUGCUAGCUCAGAGACGUGAGGGCAAUUGUCAAGACAAAUUGAGCAUAAAGGCACGGGAGCCUUCACCCCAGCCCAUUCAUUUCAUUCAGCAGCGCCCACCCCCUUCCCAGUAUCCAUCCAACCACACUCUCCCUGGCUGAGAUCCCAGGCUACUUCCCAAAGAAAUGCAGGUCAUAAACAUAAAAGGGGAGAGCGAGCUUCGCUGAUACCCACCAUGUAAAUGUGAGUGGGGAAUAUACUGGAGUAGUUCCUUCCUGUAGCAUUACUGGCUUAUUCUAGCAGGUGAUAAACUGACUGCUGUAGGUUUCGCGACAAUGCCGUGUAUGGGCAAAAAAAAGUGGAUUGGUAGCCUUAUAUCUGAGCACAUGAUCUCAAUCAAAGAAACCUGGACUACAAGACGUCUUAGGCAUGGGAAAAUAUCAGGUUACAAAGCCCUUUUUCCAAGAAAAAUAGCCUCACACUGGUUUACAAUAACCGCGAGUGAGGAAUUAGGACAAGCGAGAUGGCUCUUUCCAUUGCAAUAAAGAACUCUGCCUGAUAGCAAAGUACUGGGUGAGAAAACAAGUGCCGUCGGUCCGGAGGAAAUUACAAUGAAUGCAAGCUAUACCGUAUUUAUAAUUUUAACACGUUUCCCACAGUCAUGGAAACUUGGAAAUAUCUGUG